rnacentral:lncRNA from 1 species
GUUGUAGAAAAUGUUGCCAUGUUAUCUCAGAGUGAUAAGGUGUAUUUUUUUCAAGAGGGCCUUUAGGACAUACUUUAAGUGUAUGUAAGUCCUUACAAAAUGCAAAUAUUUAGAAAUGUUGUCCGCCUAGCUCCAACAACAACAACAACAAAUUAUAUGUAUUGUGUUAUAAAAUUACGGGAAACAGUGAUAAAUUAGAAAAAUAAGAAGUAAUAAAUGUGGAAAAAAUACUAUGAAAUGAUUGACAUUUUAUACUCAAAAAUGCUGAAGUAAAACUGUAAAAAAUCAACUUCAUAACUUUUUACAUUCAGAAUAACUGACACAAUUCCUAGAAUUUCUUCUCUAGUAGACAAUCUUAGAUUAAAAGUUACUGAAAAACUCAUGAUGAAAAAAUUACCGGUUGCAUACUGUGUAUAAUUAGAAUAAGAAAUCUUUGGAGCAUGUCAUUAAUGUGCAGUAUGAGUGAAAAUAAAAUUCAAUCUCUAUCAUUUCAAGCUCUCAGAAAAUAUGCGUUAAUGCACUAACUCACUUGCAGAAAGAUUGGAUAAAGCUUUUUGAAGCUCUGGAACGAUUUAAACUACUAAACAAAUAGAAAUAUAUAUCUAUGAGAAUACUGAGAUAAGAAGUGAUAACAACAGUACAGUUUUUAUUUUGUAUUUCAGUUUUAUAUCUACAGUUAAUAUAUAAUUGCUAUGACCUUGGUACUACAAAUAAGAUGACCUAAUACCAGUAACAUUCUCUGUUUGGUCAAAGAGUCUGAAUAAUCUUAUUUUUUACUUCCUGUUUCACAGUAAGGGGUGGAAGCAUUUCCAGAGUAUAUUUGCUUUAUGUCUCUUACAUAGGCAUUCAAAUAGUGAUUUUAUGCAGAAUUUUGCAUAUCCAAUGUCUGAAUGGUUAUGGCUUUUCAAAUCUGAAAGGUCUAGAGAAUGCAGAGUGGUCAUGCAGACAAAUGAUAUAUCUUCUUGACAGGAAACAUAUUCAGGAGGAAUAUGAAAAUCUGUGUAUUACUGUCAAAAUAUCAACACAGUUCAAGUAAGCAAA